ACAAGAAUUAAGUAUCUAAGUAGAAUGUUAAUAUUACCAUUCAGUUAAUCAUUCGUAAAGAUAGAAAUAAGAAAGUUACAGAAAAUGGGAUGACAUGUAUCUAGGAGAAUAGAUGUCAAUAAGAUUAAAAGAAAUCCAUUAGGUCGGAGCUAACUUUUUGUCCUUUAAAAUGUAAAGAAUAUGAAUCCUAUAUAACAAUAGAGAUCCUUUACUGUAAACUAAAGGGUUUAAAUACCCGUAGAAAAAACUAAAGGGUUUAAAGAGAGUGCGGUGUUUCUGCUCCUAAGCUCAUCUGCACCCCCUCUAACGAAAAAAAUCAAAACAAAUACUAAAAAAAUUCAUAAAUUUCCAAUUUUUUUGUCUGUUAGAUAAGUUUAUGCGUGAGGUGCGCUCCAAAUUUCACCUCAUUUGGAGAUCUGAGCAACUCUCAGCUAAAAAGACAAAUUCAGGGUCUGUAAAAAAGUUUACUGUUCACACACUGUUCUGAUCCGAUUUGUUUUUUUUGCUGAGAGCUGCUCAGAUGUCCAAAUAAGUUGAAAUUUGGAGUGAACCUCACACAUACAAUUUUCUAUCACACACAAAAAAGGAUUUUUUUGAACUUUUUAAAUAUUUGUUUUGAUUUUUUUGACCGGGUGCAGAUGAGCCUGGGCACCGAAUUGGAUUUUCGGUUUAAAGAUAAUUUCUUACAGGAAUCCUAUCAUGUGUUGAAAUUCCUGUUAAAAUUCCUUGAAAAGGGCUUAUUCCAGGUCAGUGGGCAGGGGACGCUUUGUGGGCCGCUAGGAACCCAUUUCCGGCUCGCUGCUCCGCUCCUGCCGAAAUCAAACCGAAACCCUCCCCAGUCGCCACCAUGAGCGACGGUGCCGCCACCCUCCUCUCCACCGCGGGGUACGACGGCGAGGGCCGCAUCAGCGACCUCCACGACGACCUCCUCCGCCAGAUCGUCUCCCGCCUCCCCGUCACAGACGCCGCCUGCACCGCCGUCCUCGCCUCCCGCUGGCGCCACCUAUGGCGCUCCACCCCUCUCGUCCUCGACGACGCCCACCUCCCGAAGCCCACGCGCGCCGCCUCCGUUGUCCGAGUCCUCGCCGACCACCCGGGCCCCUUCCGCGCCGUCCUCCUCACCGACUGCAGGCCCGCCUCCCUCGACCGUGAGCUCCCCGAGUGGCCGCGCCUCCUCGCCGCCAAGGGCACCCAGGAGCUCGCCCUCUUUAACAAGCACGUCCACUCGCGCCUUCCCGCCGACAUCCUCCGCUGCUCCUCGCUCCAGUUCCUCUCACUGUCCUUCUGGAGGUUCCCCGGCGACCUCUCCCGCAGCGCCGACGCCUUUCUUCCCCACCUCCGGAAACUCGACAUGAUAGGUAUCAGCAUGACCGAACAUGACCUGGAUUACUUGCUCGCUGCCAGCCCCGUCCUGCAGACCCUUACGCUGGCCCUCAAUUCGCCCAAGCGCGUCCAUCUCCGCAGCCAAAGCCUCCGGUGUGUGCUCGUUGGGCUGUCCACCAUGGAGAAGUUCGUCGCCAUGGAGAAGUUCGCCGUGAUGGACGCGCCACUCUUGGAGCGCCUCAUCCUUUUGGAGCCGUCUAUUGCUAGGUGCGAUCGUGUGAGGAUCAAGAUUGCUUGUGCACCCAGCUUGCGAGUGCUCGGGUACCUGGAGCCAAGAGUUCACAAGCUGCAGAUCGGUGACAAUGUCAUCGGGCCGGACACAAUGACGAGCAGAUGCGCUGUGGUUCCAGGCGUCAGGAUAUUGGCCUUGAAAGUGAAUUUCCGUAUCCUCAGCGAGGUCAAGAUGCUAGCCAGCUUCCUCAGAUGCUUCCCCAACAUCUCAACUCUGCACAUUGAGUCUGCCCUACAUGCUCGAUCCUCAAUUGCCUAUCAACCCACUUGGGAGCACCAUGCCAAGUUCUGGGAGGAGGUCACUGCAGUUAAAUGCUGGAAAUCACGCGUCAAGAGGAUCGUUUUCCACAAGUUCAGAGGGAAUCAAAAAGAAUUUGAAUUCCUCAAGUUCAUCGCCGGGGAUGCGCAGGAGCUUGAGUCUUUGCUGCUUGUGCCGCUCGAUGAAAAUUUUACUUCAGCGGUUGAGGUGAAUGAGAUGAUAGACAGAUCCGGCUGUCCUCAGUUUCGAGCAUGGGCCUCUAAAGUGUUGCUGGUGUAGCCUAAAGUGGACGGUGCUUGGAACUUGCAGAAAGCACUGGACCUUACCAUUGACGAUCCUUUUCUUCGUUGCUGAACGCACGGUUUAAUUCGCUAUAUGUUCACAUGAUUGAUCUGAGCCUUUUGGGAAACACAUGUUUGUAGGUGGCCGGUUUCCAUCAGGUAGAGAAUCGAUCAACAUUUAUAAUCGUCGACUGCAGAAAACCAGAUGAAUUUCCCCGUCGAUGCACACCACCCAUCCAGCAAAGCAAAACAGAAACAAGAACGUGCGGACGGGUGGGCGCGCGCGUCACGCGCCGGGGCUGGUCUUCUUGCCCAUCUCGUGGAGGCCGGCGCCGGCGCCGACGCCGCCGCGGUGGAGCCUGCACCGGAACGACCCGGCGUGCGUCGUCGGCGAGCAGAGGCACGCCCGUGGGCUCGCCAGCAGGUGCGCGUGCUUCGGCGCCUGCGACGCCGCCUUGGGCGUGGUCACCAUCACCGCCGGCGCCUCCCCGCCGCCCUUGCCCGCGCCGGCGUGGGCCAUGUGGAGGUUGGGGUGGUGCUUCUUCAACGGCACCGCGAUCUUAUUCGCCGCCGCCGGCGUCUGCAGCUGCUCCUCCAUGCUGCCCCCCAUCGACCGAGCGACGACGACGGCAAUCUCGAUCGACCUCUACCAUUCCAACGAAGGUUUGAUCAGAACCAAGGACCGGUGAAACAACGAACAUCGUACUAGAAAUGUUAACAAAUUACUGCCAUCGUCUAGCCAGAAACCUCUCAUCCAAACCCUCCCAAAAAAUCUGAACACAAGAAAGACGUACAUGGAGAAUGAAUCAUGCGAGUUACCUUUGCUGAAAUGGAAGACUAAUGUGCAGUUAAUUGUGGAUCCUUGUAUCAGCCUAAGUUAAAUUACUCUACGGGUUGUAGUGGUGAGCAGUAACAAAGCGGGGAGGGAGAUAAAAAAGGGGGUGCUUUAUCCAUGCACUGGUCUAUUUAAAGCCACGUAACGGCCACACCAGCUAUUUUUACCGCCUAUCCCGAAUUCGUUGGCGCCACUCAUGGAUCGGAUAUAUAUCCAUAUCCAUGCAUAUUCAAAAUGGACAGAGCACAGUCCAAUAUAAGGAGUCAAGGGGACACUAUUUUUAGAGUGAUUUUGCGACAUUUGUGUGGGUCAUCCAAAUGUAGAUUACUCCAUAAGUUUUGUCUUCUAUGUCUUCUACCUAUGGUACAAUCUACCUAAUUGUUCUGUUUUUUUGGAAAUCUGCAUUCAUAUGCGUAUACUAGAAGCACCUUUGUUGCACUGGUUUUAACGAUGCCUUAAGUUUUUUUUAAUAUCUCCAAUUUGUUAUGAUUGUUAGCAUAAUUUUCACAUAAAAAGUAGUGGCAAAUUAUACAUGAAACUGAUGGCCUUUCCACAACUUUCUCCCUCUGAAGGUAGCCCCACCACUGGGAGCAACCCUAACUUUCCAUUUCUAAGGAGUUCAGAUGUUGAACGAUACAUCAUCACAAUUGCUCGGAUGCGUCCUAUUGGGAUUUUCUCAAGUCACCGCCAGUUUUCAACUAUAUAUAUUUUUUACUAUAUGCACUGUUUGAGCAGACUUUGUAUUUAGUUUCUACGGAGUUCAUAUGAUGUUUUUUUUUGCGGGGUCAUAUGAUGUUAUUUGAGCAUCAAACUUUGUAAGCGCCUAAAACAUUUGUUCAUAAUCAAUGCCAUGAAGUUUCUGA